GAUGAACGCUAGCGGCAGGCUUAACACAUGCAAGUCGAGGGGCAGCGCGGGAUAGCAAUAUCCUGGCGGCGACCGGCGGAAGGGUGCGUAACGCGUGAGCGACAUGCCCGUUGCCCGGGGACAACCGGUGGAAACGCCGACUAACCCCCGAUGGGAUACGAUGCUUCAUGGCAUUGUAUUGAAAGUUACGGCGGCGACGGAUUGGCUCGCGUCCGAUUAGCUGGUUGGCGGGGUAACGGCCCACCAAGGCUGCGAUCGGUAGGGGUUCUGAGAGGAAGGCCCCCCACAAUGGGACUGAGACACGGCCCAUACUCCUACGGGAGGCAGCAGUGAGGAAUAUUGGUCAAUGGGCGGAAGCCUGAACCAGCCGUGCCGCGUGCGGGAAGGAGGCCCUAUGGGCUGUGAACCGCUUUUGCCUGGGGGCAAUAAGGGCGUCGCGCACGUCCGAUGAGAGUACCAGGCGAAUAAGCAUCGGCUAACUCCGUG
rnacentral:rRNA from 1 species